rnacentral:rRNA from 1 species
CACCGCGGUUAUACGAGGAACCCAAGUUGACAACCACCGGCGUAAAGCGUGGUUAGGUAAGUAAUAAACUAAAGUCGAAUGCUCACCUCGCCGUUAUAAGCGUACGAGAGUAAGAAGCCCAUAUACGAAAGUGACUUUACUAAUACUGAUCCCACGAAAGCUAAGAAA